rnacentral:rRNA from 1 species
CCUACGGGAGGCAGCAGUGGGGAAUAUUGCACAAUGGGGGAAACCCUGAUGCAGCAACGCCGCGUGAGCGAUGAAGGCCUUCGGGUUGUAAAGCUCUUUUAUCCGGGAAGAUAAUGAAGGUACCGGAGGAAUAAGGCCCGGCUAACUUCGUGGCAGGAGCCGCGGUAAUUCGAAGGGGGCUAGCGUUGGUCGGAAUUACUGGGCGUAAAGGGCGCGUAGGCGGCGUUUUAAGGCGGGGGUGAAAGGAUGUAGCUCAACCACAGAAUGGCCUUCGAUACUGGGAGGCUUGAGUGUGGUAGAGGUUGGUGGAACUGCGAGUGUAGAGGUGAAAUUCGUAGAUAUUCGCAGGAACACCGGUGGCGAAGGCGGCCAACUGGACCAUUACUGACGCUGAGGCGCGAAAGCGUGGGGAGCAAACAGGAUUAGAUACCCUGGUAGUC